ACUCCUACGGGAGGCAGCAGUGGGGAAUCUUGCGCAAUGGGAGCAAUCCUGACGCAGCGACGCCGCGUGCGGGAUGACGCCUUUCGGGGUGUAAACCGCUGUCACCGGGGACGAAUCCUACUGGGAGGCAAUGCCCAUGUAGUUGACGGUACCCGGAGAGGAAGCACCGGCUAACUCCGUGCCAGCAGCCGCGGUAAUACGGAGGGUGCGAGCGUUGUUCGGAAUUAUUGGGCGUAAAGCGCGCGUAGGCGGUUCUUUAAGUCUGUCUGUGAAAGGCCGGGGCUCAACCCCGUGCAGUGCAGGGGAUACUGGAGGACUUGAGAGAUGCAGAGGCCAGCGGAAUUCCGGGUGUAGCGGUGGAAUGCGUAGAGAUCCGGAAGAACACCGGCGGCGAAGGCGGCUGGCUGGGCAUCAUCUGACGCUGAGGUGCGAAAGCGUGGGGAGCACACAGGAUUAGAUACCCUGGUAGUCCACGCCGUAAACGAUGGGUACUCGGUGCUGGGGGGAUCGACCCUCUCGGUGCCCAAGCUAACGCAUUAAGUACCCCGCCUGGGGAGUACGGCCGCAAGGCUGAAACUCAAAGGAAUUGACGGGGGCCCGCACAAGCGGUGGAGCAUGUGGUUUAAUUCGAAGCAACGCGAAGAACCUUACCUGGGCUUGACAUGCUAGGGAAAGCCUUGUGAAAGC
rnacentral:rRNA from 1 species